GGAAUAAUAAACAUACAUUGUUCAUUAUAAUAAAGUUUCAUAACACAAUCCCAACGUCUUCUUUACCUUAACUUAAACACACCUUUAAUAUUACAAAAGGCUUACAUAAAUAAUGCCAUCAUAUAUAAUAAUAAUUAACAUUCCUAUUAAACUAGUCUUGGAUAUUGCCCUUGCCUUUGUCUUUCUUAUUCGAUCCUUCAGGCAUAGCUGAAAUAAAUGUCAUGAUAUAGCAAGGGUAAGCAACUAGUUUGCUUAGCAAGUUUAAAUAUAAGAAAGGUAUAUCAUGAUUAGAAGGGAAUUUAGCUUUCAAUGUUCAACAAUAGAAUCGAUUGUGAAAGAACAUGAAUUAAGUUUUAAUAAUUGAAUUUUCAAAUAAUUGAAUAAUAGAUGUUGAGUGGUUUGAAAUAACCAUGAACAUAUACUAAGGUUGUCAGUAGUUAAACUGGUCCUUUUAAUAAGUUUUGGUAAUCAAGGGGAUCAACCUUUCAUACCCGGUGUAUUAUGCAUAAACACUUAAUAGUCGAGCAACAAUUAUUUUACAAUAUAAUGCUUUAAUAAAAUUGUUCUUUUUCUCAGUCUCGAGUUCUUACCAAAUCAAUUGGUUAAGAACAACUUUUAAAACAUAUUUGAUUUAACAAAUUUAAAUAUAUUCGAUCUAGCUGAUACAACUAGCAUAGAUCUAUCUAUCUCAUAAACAAUUCAAGAAUAAAAGAACUUUAAUUAAUUCACAAUUCAAUAAUAAUUGAAUAGGAAUUCGAUUGUGCAAAAUGCGAUUCACAAUAAUCGUUAAGGAUGUGGAGUAAUCAACAAUAAUUAUCCACUAACAUGCUUUGAAAAUAAUAACUCUGGUUUGAGUUAGAGAACUUGCCUGUUCGAUGAGCUACAACUAACUAGCUUUAAUUAAAACUCUUUGAACGACCUAGCAUUGACAAUGUUGGUCUAUUAAUUAGUACUGCGUAUAAUUGUAUGUCUAUACGCUUACUUAUGCUAUCAAUAAAUAAUUCAAUCACAAGGUACACAUAAUAUAAUAUAUUAUCAUUAGUCCUAUAAGAUAUUUAAUAAAUCUUAAGUUAAUGAUUUAAUUAAUUUAUAAGGUUUUUCUUAAGUAAUAAACACUUAUUAGAUCUUUAAACAAUUUAUUAUAAUUGUUUAAUUAAUGAGUUAUUUAAAUUCUCUUCAUUUAUUAACUCUAUCUUUAUUUAAUUACCAUUUAAUAUUAGUUAAAUAGUAAUUAAUUAAUUACCUUUAGUUAUUAUUUACUAAUAAAUAAUAGCUAAUUACAUCUACUUAUUAUUUAAUAUUAAUUAAAUAAUAAAUAAUUAAAUUAUUAAUAUUAUUUAUCUUUAAUUAUUAUUUAAUAUUAAUUAAAUAAUAAUUAAUUAAUCAUUAUCCAUGAAAAAUAAAUAAUUAAUUUAUUUACUUCGUUAAUCUUUAAUUAUUCAUUACUAUUAAUAAAUGAAUAAUUAAUUAACAUUUGUCAUUAUUUAUUAUUUAAUAAAUAAUAAUUAUUUAUUUAUUUAUCCUUGAAUAACAAAUAAUUAAUUUACUUUAUAAAUCCUUAAUUAUUCUUUCUUGUUAAUCUAAGAAUAAUUAAUUAUCACUUGUCCUUAUUUAUUAUUUAAUAUUAAUUAAAUAAUAAUUAAAAAAAAUUAUUUUAUAAAUUUUAUGUCAAUGUAAGUAAGUAGUUACAUUAUUAUUACAUAAUCUUACUUAAAUUUUCUUUAAUCAUUAUUUAAUAUUAAUUAAAUAAUAAUUAAUCAAUGGUUUAACUCUAUUUAUUAUUUAAUCUUAAUUAAAUAAUCAAUAGUUAGUUUAUUACCACUAACUCUACUCAAUUAUCACUUAAAUAAUAUUUAAAUAAUUAAUUACAAUUAAAUUAUAUGUAAUUAGUUUAAUAAUCAUUUAGUGGCAUUAAUAAUUAUUAAUAAGUAAGUUUUAAAUGAUUUAAAUGAGUUUAAACCAUUAAUUACUUAGUAAUUACAUAACUGUCCAGAAAAAUUCGGAAUUAAAUAUUUUAAUAUUCUUCACAAUUUUAGAAAAUUGUUGGUCCCGAACCCACCACCGGAACCGACCGGAAACUGGGUGAACCGGUCGCCGGAAAGUUUGCCCGGUUCGCCGGAAACUGAACCGGCAGUUAAUAUAUUUUUUUUCUCCUGAUUUUCCAGAUUUGGGGUCCUUUACUAAAACUUGAAUAAAAUGAAAUCUACAACUCUGAUUUAGGUUCAGUCGGUCUCGUUGGAUUCAUAUCUUCCCGAACUACAAUUUUCAUUUAUCAAACAUCAAAUUUGGACAUGUUUUGGUUACUGAAUAUGGCCCGAAACCAGACUGUUUUGCACAGUCAUUCCACAAUGAGGUGUUUUUAGAAAAAAAUUCAUAUCUUGCUCAUUUUAAAACAUUUUUGCAUGCUUCAAAAGGGAUUUUGUUCUUAACUUACAUAUCUAACAUAACAAGAAAGAAAAUCAUAAAAACUAUUAGUAAGUUUCAAAAUGAAAAAUCUUCAAUCACACCUUUCGAUUAAGUUUUCCGGUAAAACUCAUUUUCAUGUAUUUUACCAAACUUUUCUACACAAACACAAAUCAAUACAGAAGUUAAAUGUAUUAAACUUUAUAUCUAUCAUUCUAGCAUGCUUCUAUUCAUUUAAAACUUGAACUUCAUGUAUCUAACAUAAAAUACACUAAGCAUGCAAGAUUAGGGUGUUUCUUAAACAUUUGUACAUAACUUCUUUUUUUUUCUUUUCAACUUUUAACACCCAAAAAAAUGUAAGAUCCAAACAUGAUGCACUAAAAAGAAAUAAAUCAAGAGUUUUGAAAGUUCAUGAGCAUAGGGUCUUUAUUUUUUGUAAAACCAACAAAAUACAUGAAAUUAAAGCUUGUAACCUACCUUGAUCUUAAUGCUACUUUUCUUAUUUUUCCAAAGUAUGUAAUAACUCUUGGUGGCAUCAAGGAAAUUUUUUCUCCCUUCCUUCAAAGCUUCCCACGUUCUCUCUCUAUUUCAUCCUUUUGCUUUUCUUUUUGCUUUUUGGCUAAAUAACUUGUAAGAAUAAAUGAAAAGUUCUUUAUAAAAAUAUUUGGGAG
rnacentral:lncRNA from 1 species